CUCGCUUUCGGUUUCCGUGUGUCUCCAUCUUGUCUGCGCAGAUCCGCAGAUCCGACGCCCGCAGAGUGAAGUCCCUGGGACCAGAGCCACCCCAGCCGCCACUUAAGGCAGACGGCGUGCCUCUCCUGCAAGAGCUGGGGAAGAGAUGAAGAAAGGCCUCCAAAAUGAAGUUGCCGACUCGCGGUGCGCGGAGCCCUGCUAAGUGGAUAGACGCUGGAUGAGACCCUGGCUACUGAUUUCUGGAACAUGGCCCUGUGCCCGGUGUCUGCUGAGGUCAUCCACCAGGUGGAGGAGUCCCUGGAUGAGGAGGAGAAGGAAACGAUGCUUUUCUUAUGUAGAGACGUGGCUGAGAACCUGGCUCCACCUAACAACGUCAGGGAGCUCCUGGGCACCUUAAGUGAGAGAGGCCAGCUCUCCUUGGCUACCUUGGCUGAACUGCUCUACAGAGUGAGGCGCUUCGACCUGCUUAAGAAGAUAUUGAAGACGGACAAAGCGGCCGUGGAGGCCCACCUCUGCAGAAACCCUCACCUUGUUUCUGAUUAUAGGGUGCUGAUGAUGGAGAUUGGCGAGAAUCUGGAUAAAUCCGACGUGGCCUCGUUAAUUUUCCUCAUGAGAGAUUACACAGGCCGAGGCAAGGUAGCCAAGGACAAGAGUUUCUUGGAUCUGGUGAUCGAACUGGAGAAACUGAAUCUUGUUGCUGCAGAUCAAUUGAACUUACUAGAAAAAUGCCUGAAGAGCAUCCACAGGAUAGAUUUGAAGACCAAAAUCCAGAAGUACGCGCAGUCGGGCCAAGGAGCAGGAUCAAAUUACAUGAAUUCCCUCCAGGCUUCUCUCCCAAACUUGAGCAUCAAGGAGCCUGUGUAUAACUCAAGGCUCCAGAACGGGCAAAGUAAGGAACAAAGAUUUGCGGAACACCUUCACGUUCAAAGACAACCGGUGAAGACAUCCAUUCAGGAAUCAGGAGCUUUUUUGCCUCCGCACAUACAUGAAGAGAGUUACAGGAUGCAGAGCAAGCCCCUGGGUAUCUGCUUGAUCAUCGAUUGCAUCGGCAAUGACGUAGAAUAUCUUCGCAGGACCUUCACGUCCCUGGGCUAUCGCGUCCAUCCUUUCUUGUUUCCCAGCGCGGAUGAGAUCAUUAAGAUUCUUCACCGGUUUGCCCGUCUGCCCCAACACAGAGACUACGACAGCUUCGCGUGUGUUCUAGUGAGCCGGGGAGGCUCCCAAAGCAUGAUGGGUGUGGAUCAGGCUCCUUCGGGGUUCUCCUUGGAUUACGUGAAGAGCAUAUUCAUGGGGGACGCGUGCUCUACUCUCAGAGGGAAGCCAAAGCUCUUCUUUAUUCAGAGCUAUGAGGUGUUCAGUAGCCAACUGGAAGACAGCAGCCUGGAGGUAGAUGGGCCGGCAAUAAGAAGCUUGGACUCUAAGACCCUGCAUCCUCCUGGCCCCUGCAUGGUUCACCGCGAAGCUGACAUCUUCUGGAGCCUGUGCACGGCGGAUGUGUCCCAGCUAGAGCAACCCACCAGCUCAUCCUCCGUGUACCUGCAGAACCUCUCCCGGCAGCUGGAACAAGAAAGGAAGCGCCCACUCGUGGAUCUCCAUGUAGAGCUCAUGGACAAAGUUUAUGCCUGGAACAGCAGAGUUUCUUCUAAGGAGAAAUACUACCUGAGCCUGCAGCACACCUUGCGAAAGAAGCUCAUCUUAUCUACGUGAAAACCGGAAGCCCUCCAGGUUCUUAGAGCAUAGGCCAGGGUGGCUUGGAGCAGGCAAACCUCCUGAUUGCUGGGGCACAGGGGUUGAAGGUCAUACCUACUCUGGUUCUGGAGCAAGCCCUGCUUCCUGAUUCUCUUGUGAACAGGCAUCAGCUAUAGCCCCGGCUGCCAUGAACCACCCCACUCCAGCCGCCAUGCGUCCCCGCUGGGAUGGCAAAGUGAGCCUCCCCUCCUUAAGUUCCUGUGCCAGAUGUUUUGGUACAGUGUGAAGAAUGCGAAUCCCUGGCCACUUCCACCCAGAUCCACAUCUUUGGCAGAAUCAUGGAUGUUUUGCAUCAGACCUCAGACCGCGGUGAUUUCCGUCCUGAAGUGCAUGCCCUGUGAUGAAUUCCUAAUUGUUCCACCAGAGGGCAGCAAGGAAGCAUGAACGGGGAAGCGAAGGCCGGAAGGAGUUUGCCGGCUGGAAAGGUCUCCAGGGAGUCAGGCAUAGGUGGUGUUCGCCUUUGAUCCUAACUCUUGGGAGGCAGAGGCAAGCGGGUCCCCGUGAGUUUGAGAGCAGCCUGGUCUACAAAGCGAAUUCAAGGACAGCCAGGGCUGUUACACAGGGAAACUCUGUCUCAACAAAAGGGAGAGGGUUGGGUUGAAAUUUAAAGACAAAGUAUCCUACAAAGCGCCAUACAGAGAUGUUUUUUGGAACUGAAAAAAGAGAAAUCAGAAAACUGAGCCAGUGUUGACUUUCAAAUGUAAAAUUUGUCUGAAAACACAGCACAGACGCACACCCUACACAUACAGCCCAGUGAACCGGCUUUCUAUUUCCCAGUCAGCGAGCACAGGGCUUCAGCAAACAGUCCUUCUGCCUCAGCCUCAGACACAGGCAAACCAUGCCUUUCUGCUUCUUCUCAAAACCCGUUGGUUUCACUUCCUUUUCUGAGCGCAUGCUCUUCUCAAGAGAUCUGGCCCGAAAAGUGCUGCCUUGCACAGCAGUGAGUGGCCCUGAGUCUUCUAGCUUUAUUUUGGCUGGAAGACGCAGAGCAAAGGUGGACAUUGCCGUUGACAGCCGAAGUCUCUAUUCCUGCCGUUGACGCUUCGUGGCCCGCGUUGGGCAAUGACCUGGCGUAGCCUGGCUGUCGGGUAUGACGUGGUCUGAAGCGGGUUCAGGAGAAGAGGUGUUUUGGAAUCUUAUCAAACAACCUUAGUAUAAACUUUGGGAACACUAGGGAGGGUUUGUACGAAGAUGGAACAAACAGAAACUUGAACGACGGACACUGCGGUAGUUUUAGUAAGGAUGUCCUCCACAGACUCUUGUAUUUGAAACUCGGUUCCCAGUUGGUUGGUGCUGUUUGGGGCAGUUUAGGUGCGGCAAUGUUGCAGGAGGAAGUAUAUUGCUGGGGGUAGGUUUUGGGGUUCAACGCCUCACACUGCUUCUGGUUCGUUCUUUCUGCUUUGAGUUUGCAUUUGAAGAUGUGAGCUCUCAGUUUUCUCCUCCUGCUGCCACGCCUGCCUGCGACUUGCUGCCACACUUCUCUGCCAGGACAAACAUUCUUUAUUCUCUUUGGAACUGUAAGCCAAAUAAACUCUUCCCAUUCCAAGUC